rnacentral:rRNA from 1 species
GAUGAACGCUGGCGGCGUGCCUAAUACAUGCAAGUCGAGCGAACAGACGAGGAGCUUGCUCCUCUGACGUUAGCGGCGGACGGGUGAGUAACACGUGGAUAACCUACCUAUAAGACUGGGAUAACUUCGGGAAACCGGAGCUAAUACCGGAUAAUAUAUUGAACCGCAUGGUUCAAUAGUGAAAGACGGUUUUGCUGUCACUUAUAGAUGGAUCCGCGCCGCAUUAGCUAGUUGGUAAGGUAACGGCUUACCAAGGCAACGAUGCGUAGCCGACCUGAGAGGGUGAUCGGCCACACUGGAACUGAGACACGGUCCAGACUCCUACGGGAGGCAGCAGUAGGGAAUAUGCCGCAAUGGGCGAAAGCCUGACGGAGCAACGCCGCGUGAGUGAUGAAGGUCUUCGGAUCGUAAAACUCUGUUAUUAGGGAAGAACAAAUGUGUAAGUAACUAUGCACGUCUUGACGGUACCUAAUCAGAAAGCCACGGCUAACUACGUG